rnacentral:rRNA from 1 species
UACGUAGGUGGCAAGCGUUGUCCGGAUUUACUGGGCGUAAAGAGCGCGCAGGCGGUCGUUCAAGUCGCGUGUGAAAGCCCCCGGCUCAACUGGGGAGGGUCACGCGAUACUGAUCGACUCGAAGGCAGGAGAGGGUAGUGGAAUUCCCGGUGUAGUGGUGAAAUGCGUAGAGAUCCGGAGGAACCCCAGAGGCGAAGGCGGCGUCCUGGCUCGCAUCUGACGCUCAGACACGACAGCAUGGGGAGCGAACGGG